rnacentral:rRNA from 1 species
UACGGAGGAUCCAAGCGUUAUCCGGAAUCAUUGGGUUUAAAGGGUCCGUAGGCGGCCCUGUAAGUCAGUGGUGAAAUCUUUCGGCUCAACCGGAAAAUUGCCAUUGAUACUGCAGGGCUUGAAUUAUUGGGAAGUAACUAGAAUAUGUAGUGUAGCGGUGAAAUGCUUAGAGAUUACAUGGAAUACCGAUGCGAAGGCAGGUUACUAUCAAUAAUUGACGCUGAUGGACGAAAGCGUGGGGAGCGAACAGG